rnacentral:rRNA from 1 species
GACGAACGCUGGCGGCGUGCUUAACACAUGCAAGUCGAACGGAAAGGCCCUGCUUUUGUGGGGUGCUCGAGUGGCGAACGGGUGAGUAACACGUGAGUAACCUGCCCUUGACUUUGGGAUAACUUCAGGAAACUGGGGCUAAUACCGGAUAGGAGCUCCUGCUGCAUGGUGGGGGUUGGAAAGUUUUGGCGGUUGGGGAUGGACUCGCGGCUUAUCAGCUUGUUGGUGGGGUAGUGGCUUACCAAGGCUUUGACGGGUAGCCGGCCUGAGAGGGUGACCGGCCACAUUGGGACUGAGAUACGGCCCAGACUCCUACGGGAGGCAACAGUGGGGAAUAUUGCACAAUGGGCGGAAGCCUGAUGCAGCAACGCCGCGUGCGGGAUGACGGCCUUCGGGUUGUAAACCGCUUUCGCCUGUGACGAAGCGUGAGUGACGGUAAUGGGUAAAGAAGCACCGGCUAACUACGUG